AGUAGCCUCCACUCUGGAUAAUCCUAACAGCAGAACAAGAAGUCCAGAAGGCCUCUCUCCAGGGGAGGGCCUCAGCAAACACCCAAGAGCAAAGGGUUCUCCUCCCCGGCCCAUUGCAUAGGCAUGUCCAAUAAUCUGUUUCCCCAAAGGCCAAGAGACAUCCUGGAAUUCACCACCCAGUGAUAUGGAGGAGGGGCUCACCUAAGAAACUUCAGUGGCCCCUUGGCCAGGAGGCCUUCCCCGGUCCCCCAGGCUGCCAGUGGCUUCCCUCUCAAGAUUCCUUUAAGAGGAAGGUCACCUAGAUAAGGAUUGGUCAAACUUCUUCAGGAGAUAACAAACCUUUGAAGUUACAGGAAGUGCCCAGCAAGCCAUAUUCCCCAAAAAGGUGUUUUGGAAGCUGUAAGAAGAUAUAGUGUUGUUGUUGAGUCUUUUUCAGCUGUGACCCCAUUUGACGAUCAUUGGUGACGAGGAACUCACCACCUAAAGAGGCAACUCAAUCUAAAUUCUUAGACCGAUCUUCCUUAUGGCAAUGGGGGUUAAGUGACUUGCCUAUGGUCACACAGCUAGUGUCAAGUGUCUGAGGCCGGAUUUGAACUCAGGUCCUCCUGAAUCCAGGGCCGGUGCUCUAUCCACUGCACCAUCUAGCUGCCCCUGACAUAUCGUUUUGAAGGUUGGUCAUGCUAUUUCUUCAAUGAAGAGCGUUUCACCCAAAGCAGUAAACAAAGCUAAUGUUCUCUCUACCCCUCAAAGGUCUAGGUACUGGCUGGAGGAGCCUGCUCCUCAUCCUGGCCAGGGGAGAGUUCAGUAAACAGAGGCUCCAUGAAGGCCUGGAGGGUCGUUGCUCUCAAAAAGCCACCUCCCCCUGGCUGCUCAGGACCCAGCCUGCAGCUCCCUGGCAACAGUGAAGACAUGUGCUGGUGACAAAGUCCCAAACAGCCCCAAAUAAAGGCCUCUUAGUCACUGCUGAGUCACUUGAAGAAGGUUUGAUUCUUCUGGGAAGAGGAUUUUAAAAAUAAAUGGAAUCCAGCAUUUCCUCAGCAUUGGAACCUGUCA